rnacentral:rRNA from 1 species
UACGGGAGGCAGCAGUGGGGAAUAUUGGACAAUGGGCGCAAGCCUGAUCCAGCCAUGCCGCGUGUGUGAAGAAGGCCUUUUGGUUGUAAAGCACUUUAAGCGAGGAGGAGGCUCUCUUAGUUAAUACCUAAGAUGAGUGGACGUUACUCGCAGAAUAAGCACCGGCUAACUCUGUGCCAGCAGCCGCGGUAAUACAGAGGGUGCGAGCGUUAAUCGGAUUUUACUGGGCGUAAAGCGUGCGUAGGCGGCUUUUUUAAGUCGGAUGUGAAAUCCCCGAGCUUAACUUGGGAAUUGCAUUCGAUACUGGGAAGCUAGAGUAUGGGAGAGGAUGGUAGAAUUCCAGGUGUAGCGGUGAAAUGCGUAGAGAUCUGGAGGAAUACCGAUGGGCGAAGGGCAGCCAUCUGGCCUAAUACUGACGCUGAGGUCGAAAGCAUGGGGA